AGAGUUUGAUCCUGGCUCAGAGCGAACGCUGGCGGCAGGCCUAACACAUGCAAGUCGAGCGCCCCGCAAGGGGAGCGGCAGACGGGAGAGUAACACGUGGGAACGUACCCUUCAGUUCGGAACAACCCAGGGAAACUUGGGCUAAUACCGGAUACGUCCGUAAGGAGAAAGAUUUAUCGCUGAAGGAUCGGCCCGCGUCUGAUUAGCUUGUUGGUGAGGUAACGGCUCACCAAGGCUACGAUCAGUAGCUGGUCUGAGAGGAUGAUCAGCCUCACUGGGACUGAGACACGGCCCAGACUCCUACGGGAGGCAGCAGUGGGGAAUAUUGGACAAUGGGCGCAAGCCUGAUCCAGCCAUGCCGCGUGGAUGAUGAAGGCCUUAGGGUUG
rnacentral:rRNA from 1 species